GCGCCAGUAGCUCAACUGGAUAGAGUGUCUGGCUACGAACCAGGAGGUUACGGGUUCGACUCCUGUCUGGCGCGCCA
rnacentral:tRNA from 1 species